ACCAACAUAUACACUCGAGGAGUUGGAAACAAAGAGCAGCAGUUCUACUUGUGGUUCGACCCAACUGCCGAUUUCCACAACUACACCAUACAUUGGAACCCAACUGAAAUUGUGUAAGUUACCCUGAUAUUAUAAAACUCCCUCCUGCUUUAUCAAAGCAUCAUCAUUACCCCUUGAUGUAUAUUACUAACAAUAAAACAAUCUACCAAAAAUUUCAAAACCUACAUAGAAAUUAAACAUUUCCUAUCUAAACUCUUACCAUACCUUCAGGUAGUACAUUGAUAAUCUGCCAAUAAUGAGUCUUCAGAAACUAUCAGAGCCAAGGUAUUGAUUACCCAAAUCAACAAGGGAUGAGGGUUUACUCCAGUUUGUGGAAUGCUGAUAACUGGGUAACUAGAGGUGGCCUUGUCAAGAUCGACUGGAAUAGUGCACCCUUCAUAGCCAGACUCUGUAACUUCCGGGCAAGGACUUGCAAGUGGGAUGGACCGUUUAGCACUGCUCAAUGUGCCUCCUCGUCCCCUGCCAA
rnacentral:lncRNA from 1 species